CAAUGGGGAUAUGGCGAAAUCGGUAGACGCUACGGAAGGAAAAUCCGUCGACUUUCUAAGUCGUGAGGGUUCAAGUCCCUCUAUC
rnacentral:tRNA from 1 species